UAGGGAAUAUUGGACAAUGGGCGAAAGCCUGAUCCAGCAAUGCCGCGUGAAUGAUGAAGGCCUUAGGGUUGUAAAAUUCUUUUAGUAGGGAAGAUAAUGACUGUACCUACAGAAAAAGCCCCGGCUAACUCCGUGCCAGCAGCCGCGGUAAGACGGAGGGGGCUAGCGUUGUUCGGAAUUACUGGGCGUAAAGAGUGCGCAGGCGGUUUAAUAAGUUGGAAGUGAAAUCCCAGGGCUUAACCUUGGAACUGCUUCCAAAACUAUUAGGCUAGAGUAUAGUAGGGGAUGAUGGAAUUCCUAGUGUAGAGGUGAAAUUCUUAAAUAUUAGGAGGAACACCGGUGGCGAAGGCGAUCAUCUGGGCUAUAACUGACGCUCAUGCACGAAAGCGUGGGGAGCAAA
rnacentral:rRNA from 1 species